rnacentral:rRNA from 1 species
GAUGAACGCUGGCGGCGUGCCUAAUACAUGCAAGUCGAGCGAACAGACGAGGAGCUUGCUCCUCUGACGUUAGCGGCGGACGGGUGAGUAACACGUGGAUAACCUACCUAUAAGACUGGGAUAACUUCGGGAAACCGGAGCUAAUACCGGAUAAUAUAUUGAACCGCAUGGUUCAAUAGUGAAAGACGGUUUUGCUGUCACUUAUAGAUGGAUCCGCGCCGCAUUAGAUAGUUGGUAAGGUAACGGCUUACCAAGGCGACGAUGCGUAGCCGACCUGAGAGGGUGAUCGGCCACACUGGAACUGAGACACGGUCCAGACUCCUACGGGAGGCAGCAGUAGGGAAUCUUCCGCAAUGGGCGAAAGCCUGACGGAGCAACGCCGCGUGAGUGAUGAAGGUCUUCGGAUCGAAAAACUCUGUUAUUAGGGAAGAACAAAUGUGUAAGUAACUAGGCACGUCUAGACGGUACCUAAUCAAAGCCACGGCUAACUACGUG